rfam:Picea glauca, whole genome shotgun sequence.
GUGGCUAGGGCUGAGUGGUUAAGGCUUGUGCCUGGUAAGUACAUGGGGUUUCCUUGUGAGAGUUUGAAUCUCUCAGGCGAUG